CGUCAGAUUUGCGCCAACGCUGAGCGGCGGCAGUGAGAUCAAAAGCCUCCCAGCUGUUAUCUGUCCCGUAAACUUGACGUGAAGCCAGUUCCAGCAGGUCUGUGCGCUCCUCUGCCCCAACGAAGGCGUCUCCUCUCGCUGUCCUCACAUCAGUCACGUUGUCAGGUUGGGCGUGCAGUUCCACUUCGUAGAUAGUGACCUUGCGGUCGACACCGGCAUAGAGGUGGCGGUCGAUCUGGACAAGGGUGUAGAGGCGGAGCUCAGUCGCAGUGAUGUGUUCGUGAUGGGGGAUUGACACGUUGAAGAGGAGUGGGUGGCGCCUCACUCCUCCAACAUCCACAACACUGGGAGUUGAAUCUGAGCAAGGAGAAAAAUGGAUAAGAGCGCCAUUUUGGAGGAUUAGGAUCAUUAAAAAAGGAAAAGACUGUAGAAGCUCAACCUCACAAAGGCUCGGUGCAACUGUAUACAUAAACAAUUAGGUUUCACCGCUUAAUUGUCUCGGGCUUGGAAAGUGAAAGCAGGUUCAUCAUCAUGCGGAGCAGAGCUGUACCUUCGUUUUUGAAGCUGCGGAUGAUGUUGGCGGUGGGCAUGGCGGUCCGGUCACUAGCAAAGCGGUUGUAAAGCUCCAUCAUGUAUUCAGGCGGCUCCUCUCUUGCACCUCCAGGAGGCAAGGCAGGCGGACCCAAGCCAGAGAGGUUGAACGUUCGCAGAAACUGUUCCUUCAGGCCCUCCAGGACGCUUUGCAUAUCCGAGUUGGCAUCUUGCUCCAGCAGCGAUGGGUCCACCACCCCUCCAUGGCCGUCCCCCAGCCCCGGAGGGGGACGAUGCCUCUGGCGAGGACUGGAGAUUGGGCUGCUCUCUCCAAACAGAGGCCUCUGGAUCAGCAGGGCGGAUAACAACAAGAACAAAAUCUUGGAGCUGCAAAUGGUUCCUAGUUGAGAGACCCAGAUUCUCGCCAUGGGAGAAGUGAUCGGCAGUAACUUAGUUUACACCCUCUAUGGUCAUCUAUGGAUGAGCUCAUGCAACAAGGAGAAAAAAUUAUCCUAAUUUCUCAAUAUAAAUCCAAAGAGCUAUGCGAUUAUGGUCAGUUCAUGUGCAGCCUAAGAAAGUUGAGGCUUCCUGGCAGCGGCUGAAGUGUUGUUGACCCCUGCACUGACCAAUGUGAGCCCCUCUGCAGGCACGCGUUCUCCUGUGGCUCUCCUCCAGAUUUAACAGCAUUUAUUCUCAUGCACACCUUUUGAAGUCCUUUUCAACAGGGUGGUGGUUCCGGUGACAGGGUGGCCGAGGCUCGCCUUUGUCUGUCCGACUCAUCUCUGUUGUGUCCUCUCCUCUGUCAGUCUCUCUCUGAGCUCUGCUCUGUUUUCCCAGCUCUGUCCUCCUGUCCCUUAUCUAUGAUAUGGUGGGCUCUGCAUUGCUCAGUGCUUAUGGUCUCUUUGGGGUGUGUGUGUGUGCGUGCCUUCCCUUUAACUCUGUGUGAUGCACAUGAGCGUGUGCGUUAUCUCACAACUUCCUUAAUGAGGAUUUUGUAAACACUGUCCUGUAGCCUCUUCCUUGUGGAAGGGCUAUUUUGUUUGGGCGGGCGUUCCAGGCUUGAUACUGUUCAUUUGUUUAUUUCCUUAGUAAAUGGUGAAGUUAUGUCAACAGCUUUCUAAGCACCAUUGAGCAUUUCUUUUUGACAAAAUGCUGUUUGUGGGGUUUGUUGAUAUCAUUGUCUGUAGUAGUAUUCGUCUAUCAGACGACCCUGGUCCGAAUGAAAUUGGAAGGCAAUGGGGUGUGCCGCCUUAAUAGUGGGCCAUGAUAGCUACUGGGUUCACUUAGAACAUUUGAAUGUACAAAUGAAAAGUAUAAAAUAGUGCGAAAUAAUCAUUUGCAUUCAUUCAGCAAGGUAACAAUCAAGUUGCACCCCCAUCUGCCGCUGUGUUUGAAAUGGGUUAUUCUAACAUAAGAGGUUUCUUUGAAGAAAGGAAGAGAGUAAGGAUGUAAAAUACAAGACAAGAUGAGGCACCUUGGAGGCAUUGCAUCAAGGGGCAAACAUUUUCUGGAGACAUUCCUCUCGAUUAGGGAGACAGCAACAAGUCAAAGGUGACGACUACAGAAAGCCGGGGACACAAGAAGUAUUCAACAAUCCAGUAACAAAUGACAUCCGAAAAAUGUGCAGCCAUAUGGAAAAAGAUUGUUUACUCUUCUGAUCGUUGCCAGGUCUUAAAAUCAGGUAAAUAGAAGUUCUGGUGAACAAUAACACAUGACAAAUUACACUGCACCUUUCUUUCUUAUUAAGUGUAUUGAACAAAAACUAAGUCAAAGUACAGAUGCAGGAAAAACUGAGUUCAAAAGCUUGUAGAAACACCUUCAGCAGAAGUAAACUUAUCCUGUAUGACCUUAUCAGUCACUUACAUCGCUGUGGAGGAAUUCUGGCCCACAUCUCUUUAAAAACGUACUCAAGUUCAUUGCGGUUUGCAGACAUUCUUUCAUUCAUGGCUCUCCUCACGUACCACUACAGGAGUUCCCUCAGAUCGAGGUCUGGACUUUGACUGGGUCAUUACAACACUUUGAUCCUCUUCUUGCAGCCAUCCUGGCGUGUUUCUGAUCAUUGUCCUGCCAUACAGCCCGAUAUCAACCAAGCUUUAUCUAGAGUUCAUGGUUGACUCAAUGAUUGCAAAGAGGCUGCAGAGACGAAAUCGUCACACCUCUAUCCCCGUGCUUGACGCUUUCCAUGAAGUGUUUGUGUUAAUAAACCAUUUAUUUGCCAAACAUGUUGGGGCGUUAUGGGCAAAUAUCUCUAUUUUGGUGUACUCUGUCAAUAGGACAAACCUUCAGAGGUUUGGAGGAUUGUUCAGCUGCAACUCUGCAAACCUGAGCUCUGCUCGGCUUCGUACUGGCAGCCUUUCCAAACAACUUUUCUUUGACUUUGCCGUCAGAAACCUUGAUGUUUAACAUGCUGAUACAAGCCUAUAGUUAUUUUGAAAUAUUAAACAUAAUGAGUAUCACACACCCUGACCUUGAGGGUGAACUUGCUAUGACGCCCGCUCUGUGACGAUGGGAAACCCUCUUGAGUGUCUUCCACUUGUGAAUAAUCUUUCUCACUGUAAGCUGAUGUCAGAGGUGGUCUUGUCACAUUUCUCAGACUGACAGGCAGCAACAAGUGUUUCUCUAAAGUCAAUGCUGAUGUCUUUCUUCCUUGGAAUUGUGUUAACGUACACCUGAAAACCCCCCAGGAAACUGCCAAGGUCGUCUUAUCUUUUUUUUUUUGUGGUAAUCAUCCUGCUGAUGACUGUUUAUUGGGGAUCAGCGCCGCUUGACCCCCCCCUCAAGAUGAGGUGAGAAGUAAUAUCCUCCUCUAUUAAGUCUCAGUUGUGUGGAAUAACUAUUACACAUGGAGGUGUUUGGUGAGCCUGCGAGUGCGGACUGACUCAUGGCUCAUCAGACAAGAUACCCUGAGGUCGUUUUUACACCUGGUUUGUUUGAAUCUGAACUUGUUUGAGUCUGAACCCUAGUGUUCUGCCUCUCUGUUUUGUGUUGUAAUGUGUAGGAUCUUUGCAUAGCGUCUUUCAUUGAUGCAGUGCAGGUGUGAACUAUUGAUGCCGUUGGAAAUAUGGGCAACAAAGUACAUUGAUUUUGUUGGACAAAAAGCUUUCAUGUAACAUCAAUUUACAUAAAUCUUCUGAGACUUGGGCCAGAUGUAUAUCGAUGUCAAGAAAAACGUGUGUAUUGCUCAUAAACUGAUAUUUAUAAAUAAAAAAAUGUCCUUGUCAAAACACAGGUGUCCAUCAAACUGAAAGUCUGUGUAGCUCAGGUCAGUGUCUCCCAACCUGGGGUCCCCCUGGGGGGGCGCC